GUGUGUAGGUGGGUCAGCUCAGUCACAGUAGCGAUCAGGGACAGAGUCGGAAAAAAGUACCUCAUCAGAUUAGAAAGAAAAACGCUUAUGGUGUCAAGAGAGUCACAGCGUCAUUCACAACAUACCUUGAGAGGACGGACCACUGGCGCCUCGUCGGCACUGAGAUUCAUCGAUCAGUGUUAGCACCAGACAACCAGGUCAGGCUUUACUUGGACUGUUGAGGUUCAGGUCUUCACGAACAACACAGCAACUGAAAAUAAGGAAAAGAAGAUGCUCAUGAAUAUAAAAACAUUGGCUUUUAAGGAUUUAAUGACAUUUCUGAGGCAACGAGGUGACAACCACCCUCAGUGCACCAGUAACCAAAGGAAAUCAUUAGCAGUAAGAGCUCAUUUCAGCCCUGCUCCGUCUGAUUGAGGAGCUAAAGGAGAACUUCAUAAUCAUGUUAAAUUAAAGGUCCUUUAGAUUUAAUCUUAUCCUUUCCAAUCUCUUAAUUACUUAUUUGUCCCAAUUAUUUGCUUUACUGAGCCCAUUAAUUCACCUCAGAAUUAACCAGUAGAAGCUGUAAUCAUGCCAGUGUGAAGCCCUCUUCAUUAGAGCGCGCGCACACACUCACACACACACACACUGGGGAACAUGUCAGAGGAAGCUCACACUCUUCUGAUGAAAACCAGUAUUAAAGUCACUUCAUGUGGCGUUUCAGAGGAAGAACCCAACUGUGCUGAGAUGAUCUGUGGCUGUCACACUUUCCUACACAACUCACACACUCAUCACAGAAUAUGAAUCAUCAUCCAUUACUCAUGUCCCGCUCUUUGUGUGAUGCAUCACUGCAUAUGUAAUGUAAUUUAUGUGCAAAUAAAAUAUUUCCUCAAACAGUCA